rnacentral:rRNA from 1 species
AUUGAACGCUGGCGGCAUGCUUUACACAUGCAAGUCGAACGGUAACAGGCCUUCUGGUGCUGACGAGUGGCGAACGGGUGCGUAAUGCAUCGGAACGUGCCCAGAGGUGGGGAAUAACGCAGCGAAAGCUGUGCUAAUACCGCAUGUGAUCUGAGGAUGAAAGCGGGGGACCAAGCAGCAAUGUUUGGCCUCGCGCCUCUGGAGCGGCCGAUGUCAGAUUAGGUAGUUGGUGGGGUAAAGGCCUACCAAGCCGACGAUCUGUAGCUGGUCUGAGAGGACGACCAGCCACACUGGGACUGAGACACGGCCCAGACUCCUACGGGAGGCAGCAGUGGGGAAUUUUGGACAAUGGGCGCAAGCCUGAUCCAGCAAUGCCGCGUGCGGGAAGAAGGCCUUCGGGUUGUAAACCGCUUUUGUACGGAACGAAAAGGCUCUGGCUAAUACCUGGGGCUGAUGACGGUACCGUAAGAAUAAGCACCGGCUAACUACGUG